UACCAUUUCGAGGCGGCAUAGUCGUCACCCCCUCGCGAACAUGAUUCAUCGACGUCGGCGCGGAAUUAUGCCAAUUAGCAGCAGACACGACGAACUUCGUGCCACGAUGCGCGGAUUGUCUUAAACGUGGUGUACGUAUCGGGACUGGUGGCGAGAUUUGGAGAUUUGUUAUAAUUGACUUGUCUGCUCUUUGUUGGAGUUUCGUGUCUUGGCUUUCGCUACGCGUUGUUCUUGUACGCGUGCGAUUUGUAUUAAUUGAAAAUUUGCUUAAAAUUUCGGAUGCUUUGGAUUUUUCUUGUUAAAUGAACGGAUGGAGAAGUGAUUUUUCGAGAGAAAUGGAAUAUAUUAAUAACUGGAAUGAAAGUAAUUGUGAAAAUAUUUAAAUACAGUCGCAAGAGGAAUCGUUUGAAAUUUAAAGAAGAAAUUUUUAAAAAUUUUUUAAAUCUUUUAUGAUUUGGUGGGCGUAAUUUAAAAAUAUAAUUGGAAGAGAACUCUUUGAGAGGGUGAAAUCCACCUUCGAUGUUUCUUUCGUGCUUUAAAUAAAUAUUUAUUUUUAUCUGGAAAUAUUUUUUAUAACAAGAUGACAGAGAGAGCAUUUGAUUAUAUUUAAAAUUUUUCUCUAUCUCGUAUCAUUACAAAGUUACAGUUUUAAAAAACGAAAAGAAAAAAAUACUGAAAUUUUAAACAUUCAUUUCAUCUCCUCGAAAUGAUAUUCCGUUAAAAAAAAUUGUUCCAUACGUAUACUGUACAUACUCAGAAAAUUUAAUUAAAAAUGGAAUUUUUGUUGACUUUAAUUGUACAAUUAGUUAGUUGAGACUUUUUUUCAGACCGAAAAUGCGUAUGAUUACGUUUAUGUCUGAAUAAAUAUCAAUAUUAAUUUUUUUUAAAAGCUCCUUCUACCUACAACUGCAAAAAUAAAAACUUUCCGCGCCAGAAUUUUCACAGAAUUUUGUGCCAAUUGUGGAAACAAAAAUUCUUCGAAAUCAGAAUUUCAAUUUAACUCUGAUAUUAAUUAAUCCCCAUUCAAUUAUAUCAAGAAAGUAAUCUAUUGAAUCCGUUUUUCGAAUAACAAGACAACAAUCUUCAAGCCUCUUUUUUUUCCUUCUCAAUUUAUUAUUCAAAACAUGGACAUCUAUUAUCGAUACAGAACGAUAACCGGUUAAUUACCCAUACAGAUAUUCAUAGAUUCGUUCUCGGAUCGAAUUUCAUCUCCAGGAAAACAAGAAGAAAAGAAUCGAACAUCCAUUCUCGAGAAGUAGUUCCCUCUUCCGCGGACAACAAUUAAGUUACGAGGAACGAGCGAAGUUCAGAAGGGAAGGAGUUGAAAUAAACAACCAAAACAAAUCUUGAAACGAAACAAAUCGGGCGAAGACCACUUCUCCAGGAUACCUCAGUAGUUAUCAAUUAUCAUCGAGUGUUGUAUCGAUAUCGAAUUAAAAUCAGAGAAACUAUCCCCGGACGAGAGAUCUCGACCGCUUGAAACAGCUUGAAAGGGCCGUUGGAACGGGAGCUCGAGAUAAUUUUAACAAUCCAAUGAUUAAACGUUGCCCAUCCUCGUUCAUCGUUCCGAUUCGAUCGGAUCGUGAAUUUCUACGAGUGCUAACGCGUGAAGAAGCAAAACGUGUGUCGAUGUUUUAUUAAUAAUAGGACCAGGAUUGGAGGCUGGGUUGAAGAGGGUCGCUGGGGAUUGGAACGGAUCCAACAGGAUUUAACGGAAGAAGAUUUCAAACCUGACGCGUGUAGAACGGCUUUAUUUCAUCUUUAAUACCGAGGACACUGUGAAAAAUUAAAAUUGAAGAUACACCGCGUGAGAGUUAAUAGAAAUCACGAUUGUUUCCUAAUAGCGAGAAAAAAGAUCCGAAAACUGAGAGCAUUAGAAUAAUUUUUAUCGUAUUAUAAUUAUUAUCCUAUAUCAGAAAGACACUGUUAUCUCAAGUCUUUAUUAAAAUUCUCGAGAAACCUAUCUUACACAUUCGCCCCUAUUAUUCGAAAUUAUGGUUAAGGAGUCUUGUUAGCUCGCACUUUGACAAUCGGUUGCUUCAACAUACCUUGAAGGAACAGAAAGGUUCGACCAUUAGCGCAGAAUUUAUAUAAGAGCAACUACAGACAUCUUCGAACGGACAAAGGGGUCGAUAAGGAUCUCGAAGAGAUCUGGGGGUCCAUUCGUCGCGAAUAAGAAUUCGAAAAAAGAGGGAACCGUCGAAUGCAAAUUGCGCGUGGGGAAAGGAAAGGUACAGCGAAAUGAUACACGGCACGACUGGGAAAUGGGCACAGUUUUGCAUGGUGUUUGGUUAAAUUUAUUAUACCAAGGCAGGAUCGAAUUAUCGAGAAACCGUUUCUGUAUCCUUUUCACGAAAGUAGAUCUAUCUUGUUGCGCGCUCUGUUUAACAUUUGAAAUAUUUCGUUUCAUUUUUUUGAAAUUUCCUCUUUUGAUAAAUUUAUGAAGAAAGUCACUCGAAAAAUUACGUGGAACAGCCUAUUAAAAAAUAACACAAUUUGAUAUAUCACUCGAAAAGAAUCUAUGUUCCGCGUUUUUUCGUCGCAUCCUUCAUUCUUUGAAAGAAAUUGCGAAGAGGAGAAAAAAAUAAAUUGAAAUACUCGAGAGGAUAAUGGAAGGAAAUUAAGAUGGAGGAAGGAACCGAGGACAGUGUGCAUAGACGCGUGGUUGCGAAAGAUGAAUGGGGGUCGACGAAGGGAUGGAAACUCGAGGGGUGCAAAUGAAUGAAUGACUGACUUGACCGCAGUAAAAUGUACAACCGUGCCCCCAACCGCCAUUUUUUCCUUCUAGAAUUCGUAUUCGCCGACAGUACUAGGACGUGUUCAAUGGGCCGUGUGUUUUUGUUCUAUGGGCACGAUUCAUUGUUUUGACUGAAAUAGAGAGUGACGUUUACUGCGACAGGUUGAGGAAAACAAUGUAAGGUGCAAAGAUACGGCUAUGAAUCUUUCGUCGACGUCAGUUUGUAUAUUGUUAUAUUCCAGCUAAUUGUUCUAUGACAAAAAUUGGGAUUAUUUUGAAAAUUGGAAGAAAGCUUUACUUCCAUUGAUUAACAUAUUUUAUUUUAGGAAGACGAUAAAUUAAAAGAAUAUAGUCGUGAAAGAGGCAAGAUAAAUCUAACUGUAAAAGAUGUAGAAUUAAAUCAUAUCUAGAAAAUUUAAAAA